rnacentral:tRNA from 1 species
GGCUCGGUAGCUUAGUUGGUAAAGCACUUGUCUAGCGAAUAAGGAUCGUGAUCUCACCUGAGCUG